CCUGUCCUCCCUGCCACUUGCCCUCAGGAGCUGUCCUACAAGGGACCAGCCCGCUACAGAUGAUUUCCAGAUGCCUCCUGCCUCGACACCUGGUGGCUCUGAUCUCAUGUCGUCUUGGAGCAGAUGAUGCAAACUGGGAUUUGAAUGUGCACUCCCGCUGAGAGCCAGCGGCCCCCACUGGCAUCGUCUGAAAAUGUGAAGACUGGGCGGAGGAAGAGUGAGCCCCAUCCCACAUGACAUUGGUCAUUAUUGGCUUCCAACACCUCAGCGACUGCAGGGGAGCUUUUAUUUCAUCUUUAUGGAAACUGUGGAGG